rnacentral:rRNA from 1 species
UGGGGAAUCUUGCGCAAUGGGCGAAAGCCUGACGCAGCCAUGCCGCGUGAAUGAUGAAGGUCUUAGGAUUGUAAAGUUCUUUCGCUCGUGACGAUGAUGACGGUAACGAGAGAAGAAGCCCCGGCUAACUUCGUGCCAGCAGCCGCGGUAAUACGAAGGGGGCUAGCGUUAUUCGGAAUUAUUGGGCGUAAAGGGCGCGUAGGCGGCUCUGUAAGUCAACGGUGAAAUCCCUCGGCUCAACCGAGGACGUGCCGUUGAUACUGCAAAGCUCGAGGCCGGGAGAGGGUAGUGGAAUUCCCAGUGUAGCGGUGAAAUGCGUAGAUAUUGGGAGGAACACCGGUGGCGAGGGCGGCUAACUGGUCCGGUACUGACGCUGAGGUGCGAAAGCGUGGGGAGCAAACAGGAUUAGAUACCCGUGUAGUCCCUGAGCGGGCUGGCAAGGCGCAU